rnacentral:rRNA from 1 species
AGGACGAACGCUGGCGGCGUGCUUAACACAUGCAAGUCGAGCGGAAAGGCCCUUCGGGGUACUCGAGCGGCGAACGGGUGAGUAACACGUGAGUAAUCUGCCCCUAGCUCUGGGAUAGCUCCGGGAAACCGGGAUUAAUACCGGAUACGACCACCUUAGACAUCUUUUGUGGUGGAAAGAAUUUCGGCUAGGGAUGAGCUCGCGGCCUAUCAGCUUGUUGGUGGGGUAACGGCCUACCAAGGCGACGACGGGUAGCCGGCCUGAGAGGGCGACCGGCCACGACUGGGACUGAGACACGGCCCAGACUCCUACGGGAGGCAGCAGUGGGGAAUAUUGCGCAAUGGGCGAAAGCCUGACGCAGCGACGCCGCGUGGGGGAUGAAGGCCUUCGGGUUGUAACCCCUUUCAGCAGGGACGAAGCGAAAGUGACGGUACCUGCAGAAGAAGCGCCGGCUAACUACGUGCCAGCAGCCGC